AGUUUGGUUUGCUUGCAAACCAAAGCUGGCGACCGGCGCACGGGUGAGUAACACGUAUCCAACCUGCCUCAUACCCGGGGAUAGCCUUUCGAAAGAAAGAUUAAUAUCCGAUAGCAUAUAUUUCCCGCAUGGGUUUUAUAUUAAAGAAAUUCGGUAUGAGAUGGGGAUGCGUUCCAUUAGUUUGUUGGCGGGGUAACGGCCCACCAAGACUACGAUGGAUAGGGGUUCUGAGAGGAAGGUCCCCCACAUUGGAACUGAGACACGGUCCAAACUCCUACGGGAGGCAGCAGUGAGGAAUAUUGGUCAAUGGACGCGAGUCUGAACCAGCCAAGUAGCGUGAAGGAUGACUGCCCUAUGGGUUGUAAACUUCUUUUAUAUGGGAAUAAAGUGGUCCACGUGUGGAUUUUUGUAUGUACCAUAUGAAUAAGGAUCGGCUAACUCCGUGCCAGCAGCCGCGGUAAUACGGAGGAUCCGAGCGUUAUCCCGAUUUAUUGGGUUUAAAGGGAGCGUAGGCGGAUUGUUAAGUCAGUUGUGAAAGUUUGCGGCUCAACCGUAAAAUUGCAGUUGAUACUGGCAGUCUUGAGUGCAGUAGAGGUGGG
rnacentral:rRNA from 1 species